AACGAACGCUGGCGGCAUGCCUAACACAUGCAAGUCGAACGAGACCUUCGGGUCUAGUGGCGCACGGGUGCGUAACGCGUGGGAACCUGCCCUUAGGUUCGGAAUAACUCCCCGACAGGGGUGCUAAUACCGGAUAAUGCCUUCGGACCAAAGAUUUAUCGCCUUUGGAUGGGCCCGCGUUGGAUUAGCUAGUUGGUAGGGUAAAAGCCUACCAAGGCGACGAUCCAUAGCUGGUCUGAGAGGAUGAUCAGCCACACUGGGACUGAGACACGGCCCAGACUCCUACGGGAGGCAGCAGUGGGGAAUAUUGGACAAUGGGCGAAAGCCUGAUCCAGCAAUGCCGCGUGAGUGAUGAAGGCCUUAGGGUUGUAAAGCUCUUUUACCCGGGAUGAUAAUGACAGUACCGGGAGAAUAAGCUCCGGCUAACUCCGUG
rnacentral:rRNA from 1 species